AUUGAACGCUGGCGGCAGGCCUAACACAUGCAAGUCGAGCGAGCGGCGGACGGGUGAGUAAUGUAUGGGGAUCUGACUGAUGGCGGGGGAUAACUACUGGAAACGUUAGCUAAUACCGCAUACCAUCAGAUGAACCCAUAUGGGAUUAGCUAGUAGGUAGGGUAAAGGCUUACCUAGGCGACGAUCCCUAGCUGGUCUGAGAGGAUGAUCAGCCACACUGGGACUGAGACACGGCCCAGGAUCCUACGGGGGGCAGCAGUGGGGAAUAUUGCACAAUGGGCGCAAGCGUGAUGCAGCCAUGCCGCGUGUAUGAAGAAGGCCUUCGGGUUGUAAAGUACUUGCAGUCGGGGGACGUUAACGACAGAAGAAGCACCGGCUAACUCCGUGCCAGCAGCCACGGUAAUAC
rnacentral:rRNA from 1 species